rnacentral:rRNA from 1 species
CGAACGGGUGAGUAACACGUGGGUGAUCUGCCCUGCACUUUGGGAUAAGCCUGGGAAACUGGGUCUAAUACCGAAUACACCCUGCUGGUCGCAUGGCCUGGUGGGGGAAAGCUUUUGCGGUGUGGGAUGGGCCCGCGGCCUAUCAGCUUGUUGGUGGGGUGAUGGCCUACCAAGGCGACGACGGGUAGCCGGCCUGAGAGGGUGUCCGGCCACACUGGGACUGAGAUACGGCCCAGACUCCUACGGGAGGCAGCAGUGGGGAAUAUUGCACAAUGGGCGCAAGCCUGAUGCAGCGACGCCGCGUGAGGGACGACGGCCUUCGGGUUGUAAACCUCUUUCAGCACAGACGAAGCGCAAGUGACGGUAUGUGCAGAAGAAGCACCGGCCAACUACGUGCCAGCAGCCGCGGUAAUACGUAGGGUGCGAGCGUUGUCCGGAAUUACUGGGCGUAAAGAGCUCGUAGGUGGUUUGUCGCGUUGUUCGUGAAAACUCACAGCUCAACUGUGGGCGUGCGGGCGAUACGGGCAGACUGGAGUACUGCAGGGGAGACUGGAAUUCCUGGUGUAGCGGUGGAAUGCGCAGAUAUCAGGAGGAACACCGGUGGCGAAGGCGGGUCUCUGGGCAGUAACUGACGCUGAGGA